rnacentral:lncRNA from 1 species
CAUAUAAAAGUAUAGCAAAAUGUUUAAAUUUUUUUUAAUAAAUGUAGAAGAGAUGGACGAAGAAAACAGCCACCAGUUCAGAAUUAACAAUCAAAGAUAUGAGGACUUGAUCGAAGAAAUGUGAAAAAUAAAAGGACACUGGGUUGGUUAGCGGGACCCUAAUUUAAUGGUAAAAAAUAAAAGGACACUGGGUUGCUAUCAAUUUCUACGGUGUGGUAGGUUCAUAGCAGGGGAAGUAAUUAUAUUAGCGGGACCCUAACAUUAAUAAAAGGACACUGGGUUGUUUAGCGGGACCCUAAUAUUAAUGGUAAAAAAUAAAAGGAAACUGAGUUGGUAUCAAUUUCUACGGUGUAGGUUCAUAGCCGGGGAAGUAAUUAUAUUAGCGGGACCCUAAUAUUAAUGGAGACCUAAUAUUAAUGAUAAAAAAUAAAAGGACACUGGGUUACAAUCAAUUUCUACAGAGUGGGUUCAUAGCCGGAGAAGUAAUUGGGCACAAAUAUCAUGGUGAACACGGAUGAGAAAUAACCAUUUUAUCCCCGCAACUUUAUGUUUAUGGCCUCUAAAAAUUUUCACCUCUUUCACUUCUGGACCCGCGCUUUCUGGCACAUGCACGAUACUUGGUUGCGACUUAUAGAGAGUUUUAGAAUUGCAACGACAUGGUGCUCUUUGAUAAUUCAAAAAUCCAAUAGAAUUUAUAGAGAAUUACAGAAUUGUGGUACGUGAUAAUUUGCUGAUGCAGUGAGGGGCCGAAAUUCUUGUACAUGUGAUUAAGUUAUAGAUGUAUAAUUAAGUAAUUAGCAAGCACUAAUUGGGGGUAUUUGUGUCCAUGAAAAUUUACAGUUGGUUGUUGACAUUAUACUGUGGGUGCGUAAGUGCAAUCACGAUCUGACCAUUCAAAUUAAAAAAUGGGGGUCCCACUAAUUAUAAAGUUUGUAAUUAUCACAUAUACAGAUAUGGUCGCAUAUGAAAAUCUUAUCAUAAAUUGAAUGGAUUCGAUGACUUAAUUGAAGUUAUGAACGGAUAUUUAAAUAAAAGAAAAUUUA